rnacentral:piRNA from 1 species
UUGCCCACUUCUUUUCCACAUUGG